UACGGAGGGGGCGAGCGUUAUUCGGAAUUCUUGGGCGUAAAGGGCGCGUAGGCGGCCUUGUAAGUCAAAGGUGAAAUCCCUCGGCUCAACUGAGGAACUGCCUUUGAAACUGCAAGGCUUGAGGCCGGGAGGGGGUAGCGGAAUUCCCAAUGUAGCGGUGAAAUGCGUAGAUAUUGGGAGGAACACCAGUGGCGAAGGCGGCUACCUGGACCGGUUCUGACGCUGAGGCGCGAAAGCGUGGGUAGCAAACAGG
rnacentral:rRNA from 1 species